AUUGAACGCUGGCGGCAGGCUUAACACAUGCAAGUCGAGCGGGGUGAUGGUGCUUGCACUAUCACUUAGCGGCGGACGGGUGAGUAAUGCUUAGGAAUCUGCCUAGUAGUGGGGGACAACAUCUCGAAAGGGAUGCUAAUACCGCAUACGUCCUACGGGAGAAAGCAGGGGAUCACUUAUUACUUUGCGCUAAUAGCUGAGCCUAAGGCGGAUUAGCUAGUUGGUGGGGUAAAGGCCUACCAAGGCGAAGAUCGGUAGCGGGUCUGAGAGGAUGAUCCGCCACACUGGGACUGAGACACGGCCCAGACUCCUACGGGAGGCAGCAGUGGGGAAUAUUGGACAAUGGGGGGAACCCUGAUCCAGCCAUGCCGCGUGUGUGAAGAAGGCCUUAUGGUUGUAAAGCACUUUAAGCGAGGAGGAGGCUCUUUUGGUUAAUACCCAAGAUGAGUGGACGUUACUCGCAGAAUAAGCACCGGCUAACUCUGUGCCAGCAGCCGCCGUAA
rnacentral:rRNA from 1 species